rnacentral:lncRNA from 1 species
UUUUUUUUUUUUUUUUUUUUAUUAAACUUAAAACAAGGGAUCCCCUAUUCCCCACUAAAAUUUCAUAACAUAUACUACUGCUUAUCACGGCAGAAGAACAGUUCAACUUUAGUUUCUAUGAGCAAUUCCCCACCAACCAAGGCCAAAUGACUUUUCCUGGUCCCUAGACCAGAAAACUGUUGGAAACUCCCCCUCCCCAUUCAAAAAUCGAAAAAAAUACCCACCUUCCUCCUUCCCUCCCAGAAGAAAAAUAACAGAAGAAGUAGAACAGCCUUAAACGCAAGAAAGAAAAAGAAGAACCUUGAUUUGAAGAUCCAUAUUGCAAUCCUAAUUUAAGAAUGUCCCAGCAGAUGCUAGUAUAGUAGUACCAAGUAAUUGAACUAAAAUGACUACUUUUAAGAAGCCAGUCUUGCCAAACCCAAAAGAGUAAUCCAGCUUCCCAGUGCAUGAAUUACAAAACAACAACAAUUGAAGACAAAAUUUGUGUCACCAAUAAAUGAAAACUAUAAGAAGUAAAGGAAAGGCAUUAUGAACAUGCACUGAUCUCACUAGGAAACUAAAAAAGGGGGGGGGGGGAAUGGAAAGCUAAUUUGCACGUGUCUGGGAAACAAAAAAAAAAGGUCUCACUUUUCACGUUAUUGGAAUUGUCCUCCCUUAAAAAGAGAAAUUGAUACACCACCACCAAGUAAUAGGUUCUUCCGCAUUCACAUACAAGAUAUUCUCAAAAGGCAAAUGAAACCUAACUCAAGCAAUGCUCUGCACUACCUAAUCCCGGGCUAUGCAUGCAAACAUAGCCCCAACAUAGGACUUGAAACUGACUGUUCUAAGUCAAACUGAUAAAAAUAUACCAAUUUCCAGCUACAAUUAUCAAACUACAGGAAUCAACCUUGCCAUUCUUUUCUCAAGCUAAGAUUCCCGGUACAGAAUUAUUUGCCACUUUACACAUCAAUCAUUCGUGCUCACAAUUGACACACAAAAUGCCAUGUACCAAAAGUAUCCAUCCAGCAGCGCUGGAAUACAAUGGAUCAUCAAAUUGCUUACUCAAAUGAGAAGAACUAGAACAGCAGCAAGCUCAAGCUAAUCUCGAAAGUAAAGAUUUUCCCCUUAUGGCAAAACAUCAUCAAAAGGCAAAUUUGAAUGAUUGAUACUGAACCAUAAGCUAAACACAACCUUUCAAAUUAAAACUUUGCCCAUUUCGCCAAAUUUCUAUUCCUUCUCUUUUUGCCUAAAAUACAUCAUCCACUAUCCAUUCCAUCACAUCGGCCAACAGUAAUUUUCUCCAUUUCAUGAAAAUAAACUUACACAAUGAAACUCGCAAAUAAAAGAGAGAGAGAGAGAGCGGGGGGGGGGGGGGAAAAAUUAAAAAAAAAAAACUUUUCUUUUCUUCCCAGGGGCUGGCAAGAAAAAUCAAGAAGAAGAAAAAUGCGGACGUGGAGGAGGCAAUAAUUGGUGGGUCUGAUGAAGCACCUGGGUUUGAUUAUUGGCGGAGCUAGCACUAGCCAAGGAGGAGCUGGGAGAACUGUACUGGAGGAUGAAAGGAUGGCGCAACAACUGCGCGGCGGUCCACCGCUUAGCAGGGUCCCUCUGGAGACAAGAAGCAAUAAAAUCCCUAAACUCUCUGGACGCCGUCUGCGGCACCUCCGGAGGGUCCGACAUACAAAUGGCGCACAUGAGGGUGGCCCAAUCACCUUGCCUGCCGACCGCAAACGGAAACCUUCCCAAAUAGAAUUCCAGUAUGCUGACGCCCAAGCUCCAUAUGUCACCCGCAUAGCCGUCGUACUUGCCAUGAUUCAGAUCGGUGUUGAUUCUCUCGGGACUCAUGUAAGCAAUAGUGCCGACGGAGGAAUUGCAGGGAUCCAUAGUCUGGGCUAGGAUUCUGGAGACGCCGAAGUCGGCGAUUUUAACGGUCCUCUUGGAGUUGAUGAGGAGGUUGGAGGGUUUAAUAUCCCGGUGAACGAUCUUACGCUUGUGGAGAUAGUACAAGCCGGAGAGAAUCUGGCGAGUGAGAUCGGAAAGGGAGGGCUCGUGGGGGAUGUGGAUCCCCUCGAGGGAGCCCUUGUCCAUGUACUCGAGGAGGACUUGGAUUUCACCGUUGAGGUCGUUCAUGUCGUGGCAUCUAACCACGUUGGGGUUGUCGACGUCGCGGAGGAUCUCGAUCUCGCGGCAGAUCUGGAGGCGGACAGAGUCAUCGAGGUAGCCAUAGAUGACCUUGAGGGCGUAGAGUUUGCUGGUGGGACGGUGGAGGACUUUGUAGACGGUGCCGCCGCUGCCGCUGCCGAUGCGAUUGAUCCUCUCCAGCUGGGAGAAGUUUAGGGGAGGGGAAAAACAGGAGGAGGAGGUGGAGGAGGAGGAUGGGGCGGAGGUGGGCGGGAGGGGAAGGGGGACAGCUAACUUGGGGUCUCGCUGGGGAAGCGGAAGAGUAAGGUCGGGGCGCCGCCGCGAGCGGUUGCGAUUUGAUGCGGGGGAGGAGGAGGAGGAGGAAGAGGGAGGGGUAGCCGCGGAGGAGGCGGCUGGCGGCGAUGGUUGAAUCGGUCGCAUGAUUAGCUCUCCUCUAGGGGUGUUUGGAUUGAUUUGACCGACCGACCGACGGAUUAUCUAAACCACCUUCCAAAAAAUCUCCACCCCAAAAAAAAAAGAAGGAAAAACUAGCACUGUAUCAAUAAACAAACGGACGGACGGACGGACGGAUACUGCCCCCCCACCCCCAGUUUUCAAUUGGUCCGGAAUAAAUUCCCUCACCCGUGUUUGUUUUGGGUUGUCUUUCGUUGAAGAUAUAGAUGUCUAGGUUAUUGAUUGAUGACAAAAAUGAAAUGGAAUUUCUAUAAACGAACCCCCUAAAAAGAAAAAAAGGAAAACCCAGAGAAAAAUACAAAAUAAAAUCUGGGACUAGAAAGUAGCAGUACUAAAAUUUUUCUAGCAAAAGAAAAGCUUGGGACGAAAGAAGGGGAGGGGGCGGGGUUCGUGUUUUAGCAACUGGUAUAAUUGUUUAUUGGGCGGGUCAGGGUGGAUGGGGGGUUGUUAAUUGUUACGGUGGGGGUUGUUUCUGCAAGAAAGAGGGCAGCCCCAUCCCAUGGUGGUGGGGGAGGGAAAUGGAGGAGUACAAUUAGGGGAGAGGAAGGAAAUGGAAGCGAGAGAAAAUCGAGUACGGGAAGAGGAUGAGAAGAGCCUGAAGACGGAGAGAGAGCGGAAGGUUCUUGGAAGGAGAGAAAGACAAGGGUGACUUCUGUCUGAUUGAGUCGUGAAAGAGAAAGAAAGCUACGAGUACGAGUAGUUUGGUAGGAGAGAGAGACUUUUGCUAGUUGUAUUUUAUUUUUAAUUUUAUACUCCCCUCUUAUUUUUUAUUUUUUAUAACAGAUGUUUAAGAAAUUUAUUCUAGUGUAUUUUUAUCUGUCAUUUUAUUAUCUCCAUACAGUAUUAAUUAUUUUUUUUAUAAUCUUACCCUUUUAUCUCUCUUUUCUAAUAUAGGGUUCUUAAUUAUUAUUCCUAAUAAUUAUUGCUUGGUGGGAGUUAAUUUACACUGUUUUUGCCCUAGUGAAACAGUAUCAUUUAGUAUUCUAGUAAAAGAAAAUAUGAGUAAAUUGGACAAUUAAUGAGGGUACAAAAGAAAGUAGUGUACAGAUUUAAGCAAUGAAAAAUUUUUCUUAAUUGGUGUGCAAAAUCUUGAACGUCAGUUAUAAAAAAAGGGAGGGAAUAAGCAGCAGUAGGAGUAGGAGUAGUAAUAGUAGUGUACUUUAGGUUUGAAAUAAAUUUUUUUUUUUUGAGCUCUCAUUUAUUCUCUCAUAUAGGAGUACUACUGUAUCAAAGAUGAGGAGGAAAAAAAAAAAAAAAAAGGGCUUUGAUUUCAUGUGUAUGAAUGAUGGUACAUAUUGCCAGGCCACCAAGUGGGCGAUAGGGUGGAAUAGCAGCAAAAUGUGGCAUAUGGUGGCAUAGCAGCAAGUUAUGGGUAAAUUAAUUACAGCUUUGGUAGCAAUUGGUAGCGUAGAGAUCAAUUGCUCUAUAGAGAGUUUAUUCGUCUGAAGACAACUAUUGGUACGAACUACUGGUACUACAUCUUCUUUUUUUUUUUUUUGUUGUAAUUUUUAAAGACAAGUAAAAAAAAAAGGGAAUAGAAUUGGAUCAACUCCAGGUGCUGAAACUAAUUUGGCAUACUUUUUUUUUGUCAUUCAUCGCUAUUUUAUUUAUAUCCUAUUCUAUCCUAAUCUAUUUAAAUAGAGUUUUAACUGGACCUAUGAAGGACAAUUGAAGACUAAAUUUUCAUCGGACUAAACGGAUGUACUACGUAUCCGUUUGAAUUUACUUUUUUAAGCCAAGGGGCGAGGGGGGGGGAUAAUUGGAUCAACUCUUGGUGCUGGAACUAAUUUGGCAUGCUGGAACUAAUUGGAACUAAUUUGACACUCGUAAGAACCUAAAAAGAGUGGAAAAUGUAGUAGCUCCAUUUAAUGAAGGUGUGUGUGGAUGGGAACGGUCACACAAUUCGCAACAGUAAUAAAACGGCCAAGCAAACUUCGAGAGACUCAGAAAGUUUAUCGAGUCAGCGGGGGGGUUUUUUUUUUUUUGGCUUUUACGUUCUUUAAACAAGCAAGUGUAAUUUAUAUUUACAAUUUGCAAAUUUAUUAAAGCAAAAAAAUGCAUCAAUAUACUCACGUAGUAGUAGUUGUACGUAUAAACACGAGACAGAGUGGAUUUGAAACGAAGCACCAAAGGUCAAACUUAAACUUUGGUCGCAAGUUUGAAAAGCCCGUCUUCCCUCUCAGGUCCCUCCAUUUUCCCUUUUCCUGCCUUGUCCAAAAAAGAUUCCUCUACGUCUCCUCUCUCCCCCUUUCACACCGCCCCCCGAAGCUCCCCUCCUACUCCUCAGUCGCCACAAUAUAUAUAAACAAAAAAAGGAAGAAGCAAAGAAACGACCCCUCCCCUCCCUUGUUGUUGUUUAUGGCUUUUUUUACCUUCUCCUCCUCUUUAUUUUGUAUACCUGUAGUAGUAGUAGUAGUACCGGUGGACUACUUAGCAGGGAAGUUCAUUUUGAAAAAUAGAUGGCACGUUGCGGUCAGCAUUUUGUUUUUUGUGCUGUGUUUGUUUUUGCUUGUGUGAGCGUGUCCUACUCCUUACCUAAUAUAAUUGAAAUUGAUCAACAAAUUUGAUGCAUUGAUGAUAUAUUUCCUCUCCGCCUGCCUUCUAUCGUUUCGGGGGAAAAAAAAGAUGUAUUUUCUCUCCGCAGUCAGUCCCCAGAGAGAGAGAGAGAUGACUGAUGAGAUGGAGAGAUAUUCGAGCGAGAUUGGAUGGAGAGGUGAUGGUCAAAGCAAGGAAGGAUGGAGGUACGGGAGUUGACUUUUCGAACAAUGACAAAAGUGACGCAGGCUCAUUCUUAAUUCUUAUUGAUCGAGGAAUGGAUGGGUUGCCGCUCCACCGGGACGGGAACUCCCCCUUUUUUUUUUUUGGACAGAAAUUCUCCAUCCCCCAGCUGCCCAAAACCUCUUCACACUGGGACUUACUUUUUGAUUGAUAGGAAGCGUAUGGUUUACGAGGGUGACUGGUGCUUGUGGGUGGGUCCCGUCCUAGACUGCAUGUGGUAAGUUCCAGAGAGGCCAGAUGUCCAUCCGUCCCAUUUCUCCUCCCGACUCCUUUGCUUCAGAAGAUGUCCGUCUCCCUAUACGUCGCUGCUGCUUCUACCAAAAUAUCUUUCUUGCUGCAUUUCUUCUGUCUGUCCGACUCUGAUCCCGUUCCAUAACAACCAGCCCACAUUUUUGCCAUCACGAGACGACACCACCGUCAUUAUUUAAAUCCCUCUGAUCAAUAACUGGGCACUUCCCGCUCCUGCUCUUCUUCCAGCAUAGCGUCCGGGUAACCUACGCCUGGCUCUAACUAAAACCCAUCCAUCCACCUCCUUUUGCGCUCGUCUAUCAGACCCUCCAACGAAACCUGCUACUCUGAUGGUAAUCCCCUGUCUCUUGCCAAAAUCCCAAAAUAAGUAACAAACGCCCCCGCAGUUUUUGUUGCCCCGCUGAUGAACGCUAACCAUUGUUCAAGGUAACUAACUGCACUGUGUGUGUUACUAUAUUCAUUCAAGAUUCAGAUCCAGGCACAUAAGGAAAGACAACGGCCUGCCCUUUUUCCAGUGCUAUCCCCGCAAGCAGCUUGUCACCAGGAGCGAGCCCAAUCUUUAAGAAGAAAAGUAAAUAACUGACGGAAGGUAGCCUAUAAUUCACAACACGAAAAGCAAACAACUGUCCUUUUCGCACCUAAAGCAUAAUUUUUACAUUCGUAUCUCCACACUUUAUGUAGCAAAUACAAGAGAGUAGUGUCUUACGAUUGCAAGUGAGAGACACACGGACAUUUUUUUCAACGGCAGAAUAAGUAACAAAAUUCAUGGCUUUCAUACAUCAACAUGCUGGACAACUACACAGCUGUUG